AUUGAACGCUGGCGGCAGGCUUAACACAUGCAAGUCGAGCGGGGUGAUGGUGCUUGCACUAUCACUUAGCGGCGGACGGGUGAGUAAUGCUUAGGAAUCUGCCUAUUAGUGGGGGACAACAUCUCGAAAGGGAUGCUAAUACCGCAUACGUCCUACGGGAGAAAGCAGGGGAUCACUUGUGACCUUGCGCUAAUAGAUGAGCCUAAGUCGGAUUAGCUAGUUGGUGGGGUAAAGGCCUACCAAGGCGACGAUCUGUAGGGGGUCUGAGAGGAGGAUCCGCCACAGUGGGACGGAGACACGGCCCAGACUCCUACGGGAGGCAGCAGUGGGGAAUAUUGGACAAUGGGGGGAGCCCUGAUCCAGCCAUGCCGCGUGUGUGAAGAAGGCCUUAUGGUUGUAAAGCACUUUAAGCGAGGAGGAGGCUCUUUUGGUUAAUACCCAAGAUGAGUGGACGUUACUCGCAGAAUAAGCACCGGCUAACUCUGUGCCAGCAGCCGCCGUAA
rnacentral:rRNA from 1 species